GAUGAAGAACGUAGCGAAAUGCGAUAAGUAAUGUGAAUUGCAGAAUUCAGUGAAUCAUCGAAUCUUUGAACGCACAUUGCGCCCGCCAGUAUUCUGGCGGGCAUGCCUGUUCGAGCGUCAUUUCAACCCUCAGGCCCCCAGUGCCUGGUGUUGGGGAUCGGCCCAACCUUCCUGUAAGGCCGCCGGCCCCGAAAUCUAGUGGCGGUCUCGCUGUAGUCCUCCUCUGCGUAGUAGCACAACCUCGCAGUUGGAACGCGGCGGUGGCCAUGCCGUUAAACACCCCACUUCUGAAAGUUGACCUCGGAUCAGGUAGGAAUACCCGCUGAACUUAAGCAUAUCAAUAAGCGGAGGA
rnacentral:misc_RNA from 1 species